UCCUGGCUUAGGAUGAACGCUGGCGGCGUGCAUAACACAGUCAAGUCGAACGGAACUUAAGAGGCUUGCCUUUAAGUUAGUGGCGGACGGGUGAGUAACGCGUGAGUAACCUACCUGUUUGUGGGGGAAUAACGACAGGGGAAACUUGUGCUAAUACCGCAUAACAUACGAUAACCGCAUGAUUAACGUAUCAAAGAGCGAUUGCAGACAGAUGGACUCGCGUCUGAUUAGAUAGUUGGUGAGGUAACGGCCCACCAAGUCAACGAUCAGUAGCCGAACUGAGAGGUUGAACGGCCACAUUGGAACUGAGAAACGGUCCAGACUCCUACGGGAGGCAGCAGUGGGGAAUAUUGGGCAAUGGACGAAAGUCUGACCCAAGCGACGCCGCGUGAGGGAAGAAGGUCUUCGGAUUGUAAACCUCUGUUGAUAGGGAAGAAGCAAGUGACGGUACCUAUCGAGGAAGCCACGGCUAACUACGUGCCAGCCGCUGC
rnacentral:rRNA from 1 species